CGGAACGGGUGAGUAACGCGUGAGGAACCUGCCUCAAAGAGGGGGACAACAGUUGGAAACGACUGCUAAUACCGCAUAAGCCCACGGCUCGGCAUCGAGCAGAGGGAAAAGGAGCAAUCCGCUUUGAGAUGGCCUCGCGUCCGAUUAGCUAGUUGGUGAGGUAACGGCCCACCAAGGCGACGAUCGGUAGCCGGACUGAGAGGUUGAACGGCCACAUUGGGACUGAGACACGGACCAA
rnacentral:rRNA from 1 species